UAGUGGCGAACGGGUGAGUAACACGUGGGCAAUCUGCCCUGCACUCUGGGACAAGCCCUGGAAACGGGGUCUAAUACCGGAUACGAGUUUCACAGGCAUCUGUGAUUCUGGAAAGCUCCGGCGGUGCAGGAUGAGCCCGCGGCCUAUCAGCUUGUUGGUGAGGUAACGGCUCACCAAGGCGACGACGGGUAGCCGGCCUGAGAGGGCGACCGGCCACACUGGGACUGAGACACGGCCCAGACUCCUACGGGAGGCAGCAGUGGGGAAUAUUGCACAAUGGGCGAAAGCCUGAUGCAGCGACGCCGCGUGAGGGAUGACGGCCUUCGGGUUGUAAACCUCUUUCAGCAGGGAAGAAGCGAGAGUGACGGUACCUGCAGAAGAAGCGCCGGCUAACUACGUGCCAGCAGCCGCGGUAAUACGUAGGGCGCAAGCGUUGUCCGGAAUUAUUGGGCGUAAAGAGCUCGUAGGCGGCUUGUCGCGUCGGUUGUGAAAGCCCGGGGCUUAACCCCGGGUCUGCAGUCGAUACGGGCAGGCUAGAGUUCGGUAGGGGAGA
rnacentral:rRNA from 1 species